rnacentral:rRNA from 1 species
GAUGAACGCUGGCGGCGUGCCUAAUACAUGCAAGUCGAGCGAACAGACGAGGAGCUUGCUCCUCUGACGUUAGCGGCGGACGGGUGAGUAACACGUGGAUAACCUACCUAUAAGACUGGGAUAACUUCGGGAAACCGGAGCUAAUACCGGAUAAUAUAUUGAACCGCAUGGUUCAAUAGUGAAAGACGGUUUUGCUGUCACUUAUAGAUGGAUCCGCGCAGCAUUAGCUAGUUGGUAAGGUAACGGCUUACCAAGGCAACGAUGCGUAGCCGACCUGAGAGGGUGAUCGGCCACACUGGAACUGAGACACGGUCCAGACUCCUACGGGAGGCAGCAGUAGGGAAUCUUCCGCAAUGGGCGAAAGCCUGACGGAGCAACGCCGCGUGAGUGAUGAAGGUCUUCGGAUCGUAAAACUCUGUUAUUAGGGAAGAACAAAUGUGUAAGUAACUAUGCACGUCUUGACGGUACCUAAUCAGAAAGCCACGGCUAACUACGUG